ACCAUACUAGAUAGGAUGCAAGUUACUCCUGUCUCUGUAGAGUGGAAAGAAAAGACAGAGAAACAGUGAUACACUCUAGAAGCUUCUUUACAAUGAAAUUUAGCAGUUAAUAAACUGAGUAAAAUGCAUAAUUUAAGUUUCACUGCUGCUGGUCUUUUUUUUUUUCCCUUGGCUUCAGAAAAAAAAAAAUAUAUUGCUUUUUCGCUGGCAUCCUGCCUUGACUGAUGAGAUGUUAGCAGCCCCUAAGAAGGAGAAAAUCCAUAUGCCGAAGACGACUGUGGGCUCAAUUUCCUACAGAGGAAGAGUGUUGGAUGAAGCAUAGAAACAGGAAAAUGACUUCAAUGUUUCAGAUGCUUCAGACACUGGAAUAUCUUGGGCUAUCAAAACAGAACACAACAGUCAUGAUCAGAAACAUUUUACUUUAGCAUCUAAAGAAGAAGUGUCCUUUCCUCUUAAGAAUGGUGCGAAAUGGAGUCCCCAACUAGCCUUCCUCAGUGAAAGCUGGAUCACUUGUGAAAAAUCUUAGAGACUCCAUCCAGCCUCCUGCCCUGCUGGAGAUACUCAAACCCAGACCUCACCUCUCCCUGAGAUGAGAGGCCCAGCCACUAGGAUGCUGGCUACAGGAGAUGGAGUGUGGUGUGAGGGGGCAGACAGCAUCUGUCUCUCUGACUGAAGCUGUUCCACCAUGCAGAAAACCUUCAAAAUUCAAGAUCAAAGAGGGACCAAGAGGAGAUACGACUGCAUCAUCCAGCAGUUUGCAGUCACCUGACAGAAGGAAAUCUGUGUACCCUUCCUACUCCAACAUGUAUCUACAAGCUUCUAUAUGCAUAAAGCACUAAAUAAAAUAGUAAUAAUAAAAAUAUC